CUGAGGCCUUCAACCUGCUCUGAGUUGGUGUGUGGUGACAGGCGUCUGCUUUUAGUCUUCCAUAUGAGGAGAACGCUUUGCCAUGACCACUCAUUGGCGAGAACGUCCUUGCUCCAAUUCAACAUCUCAGAAGUUGAGGAAAAGGGAAGAAAAAAGAAGAGCACCAAAAGCCCGUGAGGAGCUUGUGCUCUAAGCCGCCGGAUGCCCUUCCUCGCCGGCCCGACACCUGCCCAGGAGACGGGGCCCAGGGGAGCGGAUGUCCUUACCUUCUCCUGGUACAGCCUAUGGAGCCACUGCGCUGCCCCCUUCUCGUCCUGAGGGAUCUCCUCCAACGGGAACCUCCUGUUUCAUUGGGACCAAGAGCAGAGGAAAGGUCACUUCUUCACAAGGGGAACCUACUUGCUUCAAAUGUGGAAAUUAAGAAACAGAGCAGCUUUAAACUAGCCUCCCAACAGCUGCUUCAGGUGGAGUCUUGACCUGCUGCAUCCAAAUCUACACCUGCGUCGCCAGCCCUGGGGCCGUUUGCAGGGGAAGAGGGGUACGCAGGUAAAGCCUGACAUAACUGGAGAAAUCUCCAUAUGUGACAGACCACAGCUCCUAUGUUGAAGGUAAGUUGGACGUUGAAUAAAUAGAAAGUACAAGUCACUAAGAUCCCGUUAAAGACCGUUCAGUUCUUCUGUGUUCAUCAGCAGGAGGAGCAGUGGCCCGUGGGAGGGGCCACACCUGUCUCACCAGGGCACAGGCAGGAGGGGCCUCUGCCCCAGGACUGGCUCCCCGCCUCUGGGAAGGCGCACAAGUCCUGGCACGCAGAAGGGCAGCAGAGGAGAUGACCCGCGUCACUCGCAGGGGGCAGCUGUACCUCUGCUCAACUCCGCCAUAGCUUUGCAUGGUCACCUGGCCAAGGAAGAGCAGCACUGAAGCCGCAUGUGGGGACAGGUCAGCUGCCCUGAGAGCCAACCAGGCUCAGGUGGACUUAACGGGGGCCAAGUCAGCUGUAUCAUAGCUUCAAACUAACAGUGAAAAGCAGAAAGCAGAGAGAACAGAGGUCCGGCCACAGCUCCCAGACUUCAGCCCCUGUGGAGUGACAUGAAGACCUGCGCCCUGCAGGGCGGGGACGCUGGACCGCUGGAUGGAGCUGCUCUGAAGGACGACAUGGCCAGGACCAGCCCACUGAGCCCCGGGGCUCUCAGGACCCAGCUAUUGAAGUGGGACGGCAGAACAGACCCCACGAAGGGCAAUGGGCAGACCAAGGCGGCCGCUCCAGGCUGAGCCCUGGAGGGGGCGACCUAGCAGCUCUGGCCCUGGGCAGUUGCCCAGACAGUCUCUGCCACUUAUCCCCCAGGGCUCCUUGCCAGGGUGACAGAACCACCAAGGCUCAACCCUCGUCUGGGCGCCAGCCUAGAGCUAGGGCUUGGGUCUCGAGUGUCUCCCAAAGACCCAGCUGUCAAGGUGUGGACUGCAGGGAGGCUGUCGGGAGGUGGGAACCUCACGGGGGGCUGUGGGCGGCCUUUGGUGGGGGGCCCUGCCUCCCCACAGGCUGGAACAGCGGCCCACCAGUUGUGGGUGAAGACUGAGGUGCAGCUGAGCUGAGCCUUUCCUUCUCAUAAGGUGAUGACCUCAGGUACUUGUACAGCGACACAAAGCUGACGAGCACCUGGCCACGGGAACUGACCAGCGCCCCAGGUGAACCACUAUACCUGUGCCAGAGAUUAGCAAUACAAGGAGGAGAGCCCGGCUCACACCCCUUUUGCACCCCCAGGGUCAACGAGACCCUAACCUCACUUAGCCUGCCAACUGCCAGGAAAGUCAUCGAGCUGUUGUACAGGUCACGAGUUGUCCCUGGGACCUUCCCACAGUGUGGACACAAGAGCUGUUGGCAUUUUUUUAUAAACUCGCUAACAUGAAGGCGGCAGAUGCCAUCUCCCAGGUCAGUGGCCAGGAUGAACCCAUCAGAAAAGGCUGGACAGCCAACAUGAACCAGGAGAGCGCCAGGCUGGGGAAGGCCAGGGGCCACCCAUGAGAAGAGGCAGAGCACCGUCUGGCCGCCUGGCCCCUCACGCAGAGGAGAGGCCGAUAAGGAGGCCACAGGGACGACACCUGUGGCUAACUCAGACACACCUAGGCCUCGAAUCGGGGCUCGGCGGGUCACCUCCUCUUCAGGAGCCAUAGACUGGGGGCACCAAGGAGUGGCGAUGGCACGGGGCGCUCUGUGAAUGGGGUCAGAAGCAUCCUUCCUGAGCCUCACAGGACAGGGCUGGGCACAGUAUUCUGAAGCCCUGACGCCCAACACGGCAUCUGACAGGCCCUGCCUUCCUGGACCCUGCUGAAGCCCUCCCUGGACUGGAGUCUUCAGGGGCCAGGUGUUCUCCACCAGAAGGCUCUGCAGGGGCCCCACAGCCCGCCAGGGAGGAGACCUGGCUCUCACCCUUCCACAGGAGGUCAGUGGUCAGCACCUGGGGCUCCAGACCUCUGACCCUGGCCAGACCUGCAGCACACCAGGGAGGGACAGGGAGCUUUACUCCUAGGGAUCCACCUGGGCUUCCAAGGGUGGAGGGAGGGGCAGGAGAGGAGCCUUGUGCUGGCCCAGGGCAGACACAGCUGGGGACGCACAGGCCCCUCUGUUCCUCCCUUUGUCCCACGUUCUCCAGUGGAUGGCCUGAAGCCCCCAGGCCUCCCGCUCAGGUAGGACAGGGCUGUUGCAGAGCUCUGACACUGCAAUGUGCCCUGCGGCUUGUGCAGCCUGGGCUCCUGGCAGGAGCAGGGGCGGGAGCGUGCUCACCUCACA